GACGAACGCUGGCGGCGUGCUUAACACAUGCAAGUCGAACGGUGAAGCCCCAGCUUUCUGGAGUGGAUCAGUGGCGAACGGGUGAGUAACACGUGAGCAACCUGCCCCUGACUCUGGAAUAAGCGCUGGAAACGGCGUCUAAUACUGGAUACGAGAAGGGUCCGCAUGGGCACUUUCUGGAAAGUUUUUCGGUUGGGGAUGGGCUCGCGGCCUAUCAGCUUGUUGGUGGGGUAAUGGCUCACCAAGGCGACGACGGGUAGCCGGCCUGAGAGGGCGACCGGCCACACUGGGACUGAGACACGGCCCAGACUCCUACGGGAGGCAGCAGUGGGGAAUAUUGCACAAUGGGCGGAAGCCUGAUGCAGCGACGCCGCGUGAGGGAUGACGGCCUUCGGGUUGUAAACCUCUUUCGGCAGGGAAGAAGCGAGAGUGACGGUACCUGCAGAAGAAGCACCGGCUAACUACGUG
rnacentral:rRNA from 1 species